GGGGGAGAGGUGAUGAUGAAUUUCACCAUGGAUCGAUAAAGCUGAUGGAUAUCUUCGGGUGUCAGCGGCACAGUACAAGAUUGGAAAAUAAUCGUGUGGACAGAGACAAGACAUCCAUUCGACCAAUAGUUGACUUUGGAGAGGCAUGAGAAAAGACAAGAGAUAUGCAGCUGUAGCAUAACUUAUAACAAGUUACUUAUAUAAAGAUGAGAGAGAGAUAGAUAGAGAGAUGACGACAAGUGAAGUAAGGUGCGCGCCGCCCUCAAGUUUAGGUGUGGCAGUGGACGUAAAACCCCAAAUAUACACAAAUAUUGAGUAUGGCGUGACCAAUUGGUAUUCCACCUGCUGCUCACUGUAAUGGGACCACACCAUCACACACCAGAUCAACCCCUCUCUCUCCCCUUUAUUUUCUUUUUCUUUUUCUUUUUCUUUUAUUGGAUUGAGUAAAUUGUUAAAAAGAAUCAUGAUUUUGGUUGAA